rnacentral:rRNA from 1 species
AUUGAACGCUGGCGGCAGGCUUAACACAUGCAAGUCGAGCGGGGGAGGUUGCUUCGGUAACUGACCUAGCGGCGGACGGGUGAGUAAUGCUUAGGAAUCUGCCAUUUAGUGGGGGACAACAUUCCGAAAGGAAUGCUAAUACCGCAUACGUCCUACGGGAGAAAGCAGGGGAUCUUCGGAUCUUGCGCUCAUUGAUGAGCCUAAGUCGGCGUAGCUAGUUGGUUGGGUAAAGGCCUACCAAGGCGACGAUCUGUGGCGGGUCUGCGAGGAUGAUCCGCCACACUGGGACUGAUACACGGCCCAGACUCCUACGGGAGGCAGCAGUGGGGAAUAUUGGACAAUGGGCGGAAGCCUGAUCCAGCCAUGCCGCGUGUGUGAAGAAGGCCUUAUGGUUGUAAAGCACUUUAAGCGAGGAGGAGGCUACCUAGAUUAAUACUCUAGGAUAGUGGACGUUACUCGCAGAAUAAGCACCGGCUAACUCUGUGCCAGCCGCCGCGGUAACAC